UCCACACAUGCCUUAUAUAACACACACAAAUAACAUCAAACAGUUUAUUAGUAUAGAGACAUGAUCUCAACACUCAAGCAAACAAACACCUCAAUUUUCGUCAAUUGAUGCUAUAGGUACUAGUCAUAUGACUCCUGUGAUAGGAGUCCUAUCAUCACCGUCACUUGCUACUAUUGUCAUUUACUACUACUCUGACUCUUGUAAACAAAUAACAGAGAUAGAGAGGAGAUAAGAAUAAGAACCCGGCGAAUCAACCGUGCAGUGGUGAUUUUGUCCGGUGAAGAAAUAUCAACGAUCGGGAGCACAAGUGACGUCUCCAUUUUCGUAAUCUCUUAUCGUUUUGUGACUCAUACGGUGCAAAAUACUAGUAAUAGGAAUAUAGAGUUGAAUGUUCUAUCUUUUUAACGUCAUGUCAUCACUGUGUGACUGAUUAACUUACACAUCAGCUCAGCUUAUACGGUGCAAAAUAAUUGAAUAAAAUAUCUGCGAAUAUAGUAGGCCAUAAUGGGCCUAUCGGAUAUUUUACUUCACAGAUUAAGCCCAUUUAGUCAUGAGGCUCAUCUCAUAAUAUUUAAGGUUUUAAGUUUUAACAUUAGACAGUUUUGUUUUAAUUUAAGAAAGUCUCCAGCUUCUCAGUAGCUAGAAUGUGAGGUAAGGUAUAUUACUUUACAAGUUCUGUUUCGUAUAUCAAGAUGGCAUAUAUUGUUAUGGUUAUUAACAUCAUAAACUAUAAUAAUUUUUUUUUUAAAAACAUCGUAAGCUAUAUAAACGUACGGUAAUACGGUUUUUACUUCUGAUACAUACAUAAAAGUCAAUUAAUUUUAUGUAAAAAAAAGACAGAUUAUUUUAGUAUUUUUGUGUUAAAAGAUCAUGACAAACAAUGCAGACUUCAUAGAUCCGAAACAAAGAGACACUUAUUAGUUAUUAUACAUGGGGAACGUGGGAGAUUGAAGAAUCUUUUGCUCUCCCUGAAAACCCCUUCCAUCAAUUCUUCCGGGAUGCCAUGAUUUUUAACAUAGAAGAACCCAUGUUCCACACAUGCCUUAUAUAACACACACAAAUAACAUCAAACAGUUUAUUAGUAUAGAGACAUGAUCUCAACACUCAAGCAAACAAACACCUCAAUUUUCGUCAAUUGAUGCUAUAGGUACUAGUCAUAUGACUCCUGUGAUAGGAGUCCUAUCAUCACCGUCACUUGCUACUAUUGUCAUUUACUACUACUCUGACUCUUGUAAACAAAUAACAGAGAUAGAGAGGAGAUAAGAAUAAGAACCCG
rnacentral:lncRNA from 1 species